rnacentral:rRNA from 1 species
CAGGGAAGAAGCGAAAGUGACGGUACCUGCAGAAGAAGCACCGGCUAACUACGUGCCAGCAGCCGCGGUAAUACGUAGGGUGCAAGCGUUGUCCGGAAUUAUUGGGCGUAAAGAGCUCGUAGGCGGUCUGUCACGUCGGAUGUGAAAACUCGGGGCUCAACCCCGAGCCUGCAUUCGAUACGGGCAGACUUGAGUUCGGUAGGGGAGACUGGAAUUCCUGGUGUAGCGGUGAAAUGCGCAGAUAUCAGGAGGAACACCGGUGGCGAAGGCGGGUCUCUGGGCCGAAACUGACGCUGAGGAGCGAAAGCGUGGGGAGCGAACAGGAUUAGAUACCCUGGUAGUCCACGCCGUAAACGUUGGGCGCUAGGUGUGGGGAACCUUCCACGUUCUCCGUGCCGCAGCUAACGCAUUAAGCGCCCCGCCUGGGGAGUACGGCCGCAAGGCUAAAACUCAAAGGAAUUGACGGGGGCCCGCACAAGCGGCGGAGCAUGUGGCUUAAUUCGAUGCAACGCGAAGAACCUUACCAAGGCUUGACAUAUACCGAAAACUCGUAGAGAUACGGGGUCCGCAAGGGCGGUAUACAGGUGGUGCAUGGUUGUCGUCAGCUCGUGUCGUGAGAU